CACUGCUAUAGAUGAGGAGGAGGCCCUGAAGUGUUCUAGCAAGGGAAACAGGAAAGAACUGAUGGAGGGAAACCAGUAAAGAAGUAACUACAGGAUCUGAUUAAGCUCUAAGGAAACAGAAAACAAGAUUGACUGAUGACAGAUUGAUCAAUCAAUCAUGGGAUGAAGGUGAUACGUAUUAGAAGAAAGGAUGAUCCCUUUCCCAAAAAAGCUGGAAGCAUCCUGAGAACAGAACUGCAGUGUUGUCUACAAAAUACAUAGCUCAUCCACAGCCAGUGCCUGACAUGAAAAAGCUCAAAAAGUAUUUGCUGAGUGGAUGAUGAAUAUUAGGUAAUAUUUAGACACGGACUUUACGGAUUGAUGGUGGGUGGACCAAGGUUUGAGCGUGGCAUGUCCUCAAUAUUGUUGGAUUAUUGUGGUUAUAGGACAUUAUUUAAAAGGUAGCUUUCAAACACUCUUAAGCAGUUCAACAUGAAAAGUCUGUAAUGUGAAGACAAGGUGAACCAAUCAAGGUGAUUUAUUGCUGCAAUGGUAAACCAAGAACAGGAUGAUAAAUGGGCUAAGGUCCUUGUGCAUCUUGCUAUAAAUGAGUGCACCAGGAGUGGAAUUCAUUAAGUAACUUUGGAGCUCUCUGCCAUUUAGAAGGCACAUCAUGGCCUUCUUUGGCCACCAAAGUUUAACAAUCCUUUUCAAAAUUAAUCUCUGUUCU
rnacentral:lncRNA from 1 species